rnacentral:tRNA from 1 species
GCUAGUGUAGUUUAAUUUAAAAUAAUAAUUUUGUAAAUUAUAGAUGAGUAAUCCUUUAGCU